UCUUUAGUGGCGGACGGGUGAGUAACGCGUGGGUAACCUGCCUUACACAGGGGGAUAACACUUAGAAAUAGGUGCUAAUACCGCAUAAGCGCACAGUCCCGCAUGGGACAGUGUGAAAAACUGAGGUGGUGUAAGAUGGACCCGCGUCUGAUUAGCUAGUUGGUGGGGUAACGGCCCACCAAGGCGACGAUCAGUAGCCGGCCUGAGAGGGUGGACGGCCACAUUGGGACUGAGACACGGCCCAAACUCCUACGGGAGGCAGCAG
rnacentral:rRNA from 1 species